UAGAAAGCAAAUGCACAGGUCAGCCAGAGAGAGUGAGAUCUGAGAAAUUUCCCCCUGGCUCCCCUGGCUUCCUGGAUAUCUAGCAUUGUUUGCCUGCUGAUUAGUGAGGUGUCUCUAGGUACAUUAAUGUGGAAGGUUGGAUGUGUUUGACAAUAAGUCAAUGAUUCUUUUUGACACGACUUUAAUAGUACUGAAGAAGUGAUUGUAAGAUGAUGCUUUUUAAUGGGAUAUAGAUAUAAGUGAACUGCUUUUUAUGACAAAGGUCAAUGCUAUUCAUGGGUAGUGUAGAGAAGAUAAUUUCCUUGGCAUAGUAGAAGACAACUUGCAUGAUUCAUGAAGGUAUCACUCUCUCUUUCUUUCUUUUUUUUUUUUCAUCUUUCCCACAAAGAGGAAAGAAAAGCACUCCUGCCAAUUCCUUCCUGUUGCCACUUCAUCUGAAAUAAGGAAGCGGUGAUGUCCUACAAUGAGCUGCUCAACAAUUGAUGGCAACCUCUAGCUGGCCAAGGCCUUCAGAAUUUGACAAUCAUAUACAGAGUAACAAAAAUUCACAGAAUCACAGAAUCUUGAAGCUGGAAAGGGCCUUGGUGAUUGUAGAGUCCACAUAUCUCAUUUUACACAUGAGAAAACCGAAAACUGAUUUCCCAGACCCACAAAGGCUACUAAGAAAGUUCUUUUUAGUUUCUCUGCCACAUAGAACUCUUUUCUUCUUCCACAAGCACCAAAGCCAGCAUCUUUCACAUUCUCUAAUAUUUCAUUUUCUGCCUCAUGUGCAAGCAAAUGCAGAGUUCAAGGCAGGCCCAGUGAAGUGCAAAUCUCUUGCAUGGCCUCUCCUUUCUUCUCCAGGACUUUUAAUACACUCUUCCUUCUGUUGGGAGAAUGUCUUCCUUUUCACUGUAGAUUUCCUAUUUUAAGACUCAGCUCAAAGGUUACCUCUUUCAGGAAGAUCUCCCUGACCUGAAAGGCUGAGAUAAGUGUCUUUUCAUUAUGCUUCUGAUAAGCGCUAUUUUUAUUGGCACCACAGUAUGUAUAUUAUUGCAUUGGAAUUGUGGACUGACUUCUCUGCUCACCUGUUCUCCAGGUCCCAGCACAGGGCUGGUUCGCAGCUGGAGCUCGAGGAAUAUUCACUGCAUAUGUGAACAAUUUCAUGAGUAGAAUCCAAUAUUCAUACAUGCUAAAACAAAAAUAUGAGCAGAGAGGGCAUUGUACAAGACAAUAGCAGAAAAAAAUGGAUUCAAUCAUUAAUUCAUCCUGAUAGUAUUAGAAAUUAGUGUAUUAUUAAACUUUAUUUCACUUUACUACAUGCAUAAAUUUGUGCAUGUGCACACACAUAUUAAAAUGACAGAGCUUGAAAGGAAAGAAACACUUUCAACUAAAAAUUCUACCCAAGUGACUACUCCAUAGGCUCUGUGGAAUAAUUUCUAUGCAGCUCCUUAGGGCAAAUACAAUAAAAGAAGACCUGGACUAACCAUAUAUUCUUAUGAGGAUGCUGUGGCUGAGCCCACCAAACACCAAACCACCCUGUCAAAGCAUGCGCAGGGAGAACGGGCUACCUGGUUGCCUCUCUGACUGCCUUUUCUGAUGGAGAUUUAGCUUGGAAGACUUUUACGCCCUGCCCUUGCCUGGGUCUUUGAAAAGCACUUACUGUUCCGUACCAGCGAUCAAACUGAAACCUCCAUCAAUUUCUUUGAGAAAAAAGCUACAUGAUCCAGCUGACAAAAUGAUGUAUAUUAUGAAUAAUAAAUUUCUCAAGGGCUUCAGUCUACGUUAUUUACUAGACAACCAUAAUUUGUAAUGUUUACUUAAACACUGGCUCUCAACAAAACACUUAGAAACACUUAGCAUCUUGUCCCUGAGCAGUUUGCAUCUGAAAUUUGGACUGCUUAAUUUUAUUGAGUGGAAAGAAUUUUAGUAUGCUGCUACCCCAACCACCACCAAAGCCGCCAACAUAAGCCAUAUCUGCACCAGAACUGGACGGUGAUGUCUGGAAACACAUGUGAGUGAAAGCUGCAAUGUCACUGUUUUUGGAGCAAAACAAUGUCCAUCAUGAAUCACUGCCUAGUGAAAGACAAGUCUUCACCAUGACUCCAGGAGAAAACACGAUAUACUUGAUAUAUAAGCAAGAAAGUCCAGGCUGGAAUACUUUCUGUAACCUCUAGAGUCUUUUUUCUUUUUUUAUCAUCUGAUACACUUUACUGGUUGCUUUAGCAUUUAAAAUGAAUUAAGUGCUAUUAAACCCCAUUUUUAGGUAGUUUCAUCAGUACAGCCUAAGGGGAUAUAAAGCAAGGAGCUUUCUCUGGCAGAAAUCCAGAUACUAAUGGUGUUAAAAUGCCUUCUUAUUGCAUUUAAGUCAGUAGUUAGGUCAAGUAGACAAACAUAUUUUAGAAUAUGUUUAAAUAAGCACUCUAUUAAGUGUUUCUUUUCAACUCACUCAUAUUCUCUUACUUAUUUUCUUUCCUGCUAAUACAGAAAGUGACAUAGUCACAGGGACUGUGGCUUUUGUGUCUAGAAAUACUGAGUUUGAUAGUUAAACUUGGAAUACCUGAGACUCAUAGACAUGAUGAUGAUUAUGACGAGGAAACCGGGGGUCAACAGAACAUCGCAGAGGACAAAAAGAAUAAGAAGGGUAGCAAAUCGCCACUGGGUAGACAGGGAUCAAGGUGAAACGUGUCCCUGAACACUUAAUUGUAUCUUGUUUACAGAAGUAAGAAAACUGGCUACCAAUUGUGCACAUAAAUUUAGGUUCUGUUUGGUCUGUGAAAAAAAAAAUGAGUUUCAAACCUCAUUUACAACUACCAUGGUUUUGGCAGAGAAUGAUAUUACUAAAGAAACUUAACAAGAAGUGUGGCAUUUUAAUUGUAAACAUCUAACUAUAAAUAAAAUUGGGAUAUAUGUUUUUUUGUAGCCAGUGAAGAGAGACUGAAAAAAGGGCAGGAAAUGAAGGGCAUAAGGAGAGAUUUUAAUUGCUAAAAUGGUGUGUGAGAAGUGGUGCUCCUGGACAAUAUGAAAGGCUAGGCAAUCCUUAGUUACAAUUUAGAGUAAGCAAAGUGUCAAGUGGAUGAAAUAAAAACAAAGGAACUCUUAGAGCAAGAAAAUUAUGUCCAUAAAAAAUAAUCAUAUUCAUGUGGUAAAAAAUAGAAGGAGAAAUAAUGAAAAUGAGAAUGAAUUUCAGGUAAGCUUUGCAAAAUGUUGGUAAAUUAUAUGAGGCAAAGGGCCAUUUCAAACAUUUUUUAUAUGUUUAUAUGUACCUAGCAAUGUAUUUGACAAAGAGUGGCUGCUCAAUAAAUAAUCUUUUAGUAUAGAUGAUGGAUCGAUAAAUGGAUGGAUGGAUAAAUGGAUGAAUGGAUGGAUGGGUACAUGGAUGAACGGCAGGGACUUUUCCUAUGCGAUAGUCAAUAUAAAAUUAGGGAUGAACCUUAGAAUUUGGGAAGCAGUAGAAGUUAGUAUCCUAAUGUAUGAAGUUCUAGAGACACACAGAGAAAUCCCAUAACUGCUUGAAUUAAGUUAACAUGUUAUGAACCUUCCAGGGGGAAUUGCUAUCUGGAUGCUGACCCUUGACAGAUCGUGAUCAGCAUCUGCCAGGAUGUCCUCUGAACACCCACUACUGAUUCAUCCCAUCUACCAUGGAAAUGGUUUGAUGUUCAAAUAUAGGAUGCAGUUCAUAAGUAGUUGCUUAAUUUAGAAACAUAUAUGUUUGGGAGAAUUACAUAUGCUGGGUCACACAAUUAUUUAAGAUGCCAAUAUAGGAAAAGUAUCUGUAAUCUCUCUUCUCUCUUCUUUGAAAAUAUGGAAAAUAACGAUGUGAUCCUACACAGACUAAUAAAAUAUGAUUUUAUAUUAGAUAUUAUUCUCUAUCUUUGAAAUGUAUUCAACUCCUCUAUAUCUCUCAUAUCUUUCCUUGUAUUUGCUGGUUAUAUUAGUCUUCUGAACGUAUGUAUUUGAGAUACUUUCAGUGAGGUACAUGGUCAUUCAGCAAUUUAAUUCUCCUGAAGAAGUAGAAACUUCGGUGUGCACAGAAUAUAUUUUCCCCCCAUUACUGUAAUAUUCAAUUGGGCUAAAUUAUCCUGUAACAGCAUUUGAUCAUGUAGCUACUGGAUCUGGCUUCAUUUACUUUAGGGUUAGUAAAGUCACAGCUUAAAUUGCUUAAGAGUUGGCAGCAUCAAAGUUUCCUCUUGUUCCUUUAUCAACUUCUUUACUUGUAAAGAGUUGAAAACUGGCAUAGGAAGUGGAAAGUCAGUAUGGAAGAAAUACUACUGGUCAUCACCUCUACUUUGGAAAGAUCAAUGAGAUAAGGAUUUACAAAG
ensembl:lncRNA